rnacentral:rRNA from 1 species
GAUGAACGCUGGCGGCGUGCCUAAUACAUGCAAGUCGAGCGAACAGACGAGGAGCUUGCUCCUCUGACGUUAGCGGCGGACGGGUGAGUAACACGUGGAUAACCUACCUAUAAGACUGGGAUAACUUCGGGAAACCGGAGCUAAUACCGGAUAAUAUAUUGAACCGCAUGGUUCAAUAGUGAAAGACGGUUUUGCUGUCACUUAUAGAUGGAUCCGCGCCGCAUUAGCUAGUUGGUAAGGUAACGGCUUACCAAGGCAACGAUGCGUAGCCGACCUGAGAGGGUGAUCGGCCACACUGGAACUGAGACACGGUCCAGACUCCUACGGGAGGCAGCAGUAGGGAAUCUUCCGCAAUGGGCGAAAGCCGGACGGAGCAACGCCGCGUGAGUGAUGAAGGUCUUCGGAUCGUAAAACUCUGUUAUUAGGGAAGAACAAAUGUGUAAGUAACUAUGCACGUCUUGACGGUACCUAAGCAGAGAGCCACGGCUAACUACG